rnacentral:tRNA from 1 species
GCGGAAGUGGCGGAAUUGGCAGACGCGCUGGACUUAGGAUCCAGUUCCCCGUGAGUGCAGGUUCAAGUCCUGUCUUCCGCA